rnacentral:rRNA from 1 species
AGUGAACGCUGGCGGUAGGCCUAACACAUGCAAGUCGAACGGCAGCACAGGAGAGCUUGCUCUCUGGGUGGCGAGUGGCGGACGGGUGAGGAAUACAUCGGAAUCUACCUUUUCGUGGGGGAUAACGUAGGGAAACUUACGCUAAUACCGCAUACGACCUACGGGUGAAAGUGGGGGACCGCAAGGCCUCACGCGAUUAGAUGAGCCGAUGUCCGAUUAGCUAGUUGGCGGGGUAAUGGCCCACCAAGGCGACGAUCGGUAGCUGGUCUGAGAGGAUGAUCAGCCACACUGGAACUGAGACACGGUCCAGACUCCUACGGGAGGCAGCAGUGGGGAAUAUUGGACAAUGGGCGCAAGCCUGAUCCAGCCAUACCGCGUGGGUGAAGAAGGCCUUCGGGUUGUAAAGCCCUUUUGUUGGGAAAGAAAUCCUAUCGGUUAAUAACCGGUGGGGAUGACGGUACCCAAAGAAUAAGCACCGGCUAACUUCGUGCCAGCCGCCGCAGUAACAC